GGGGAAUAUUGCACAAUGGGCGCAAGCCUGAUGCAGCCAUGCCGCGUGUGUGAAGAAGGCCUUAUGGUUGUAAAGCACUUUAAGCGAGGAGGAGGGUACUCUGGUUAAUACCCAGAAGUACUGGACGUUACUCGCAGAAUAAGCACCGGCUAACUCUGUGCCAGCAGCCGCGGUAAUACAGAGGGUGCGAGCGUUAAUCGGAUUUACUGGGCGUAAAGCGUGCGUAGGCGGCUAAUUAAGUCGGAUGUGAAAUCCCCGAGCUCAACUUGGGAAUUGCAUUCGAUACUGGUUAGCUAGAGUAUGGGAGAGGAUGGUAGAAUUCCAGGUGUAGCGGUGAAAUGCGUAGAGAUCUGGAGGAAUACCGAUGGCGAAGGCAGCCAUCUGGCCUAAUACUGACGCUGAGGUACGAAAGCAUGGGGAGCAAAC
rnacentral:rRNA from 1 species